CAGAAAAUAGUUUAAGUAAAAUAUUAAUUUUGGAGAUUAAAAAUAUAGAGUAUAAUCUAUUUUUCUGA
rnacentral:tRNA from 1 species